rnacentral:rRNA from 1 species
AUACAUGAGCAAAAUCUCAACUUUAUUAGAAGAGACGCAUUUAUUAGAUAAAAAGCCAAUGCAUGCUUUUACAGUAUGGAAAUUGGUGAUUUAUAAUAACUUGGCAAAUCGCAAAGUGAAAACAGGCGAUAAAUCAUUCAAGUUUCUGACCUAUCAGCUUUCGACGGUAUGGUAUUGGCUUACCGUGGCAGUGACGGUUAACGGGGGAUUAGGGUUCGAUUCCGGAGAGGGAGCCUGAGAAACGGCUACCACAUCUAAGGAAGGCAGCAGGCGCGCAAAUUACCCAAUUCUAACAGUUUGAGAGAGGUAGUAACAAGAAAUAACAAUACAAGGCAAUUAAAAUGCUUUGUAAUUGGAAUGAUAGAAAUUUAAACCCUUUUUAAAGUAUCAAUUGGAGGGCAAGUCUGGUGCCAGCAGCCGCGGUAAUUCCAGCUCCAAUAGCGUAUAUUAAAAUUGUUGCAGUUAAAAAGCUCGUAGUUGAAGUUCUGCUAAAAGUAACCGGUCUGCUUUUAAUAAAAGUGGUAUCUUGGUGUGUAUUUAGCAAUGAUGUCCUUUGAAGUGUUUUUUACUUUAUUGUAAUAAAGCAUAUUCAGGACUUUUACUUUGAGAAAAUUAGAGUGUUUCUAGCAGGCCGACGCUUUGAAUACUGCAGCAUGGAAUA